CCGGGAGCUGCGACUCUGGACAUUUUAAGGUGAGCACGUUUAGUUUGGAGCGGACUUAAAAUCCCAGAGCGGGGCUGCUGAGGGGAGGACAGCGGGCACAGCAGCUGCUUCUGCGGGAGGAACACCUGAGAAAGGUGCGCUCAAGCCGGGUGACAAAUUACACACCAAACUGGAGACUUCUUCGGACUUGGCUCUGUUUCAGACUCCCGGUAAGCGGCACCGACGAUGCUCCGCUCAGGCUCUCGGUCUUAACAUCACAAAGUAACUCGAUUUUUAAAAAGUGUCAGCUUUCUGGAUAUUUGUGCCCUUGUUUGUUGUUGUUUUUUAAUCAGCGGACGCGUGAUGAUUCCCGUCGCAUCGCGCUGCGGUAGGUGAACUACUGGAAACGUGAGGGAGCUGGAGCGGGAGGGGAGGGUGGAAAGCGGGUCUUUGCGGCCAACUCGGACCUUUUCGGCUUGAUUAGAGCUGUAAUUUCACCUUCCACGGCUCAGAAUGCAUUCCCACCUUUUUCUCUCGGCUGUGGACGCUGAAUAAAAGCAGAAGAAGUCGGUGUCAGCUGAGCCAGAACGGUGCGGAUCCGUCGGAUGCCUCUUUUUUGUUAUUUUCCUCCCCUCUCUACACUGUUUCCAUGAUUUGCGCAAGGAAUUUCAUGUUUGAAUUUUUAAUUGGAGAAUGACUAACCUCACAGGGACACUCUGCUGCUCUUUCCCUGCCGUUUGUUGCUCAGACAAGUCUGAUCCUUUUUUGGAGAACGCGUACAGCAUCCCCGUGGUUCCAGCCAGGGCGCGCGUAACCUCUCCACUGAUGUCCAUUGAUUUAUAAUAUUUUUUUGUGGGGGGCCAUUUAUCGAGUGUCGCGCAAGGACUCGUGUCCGUUUGUGUAACACUGUUUUUUCCCUCCCUGCUGCCCGGGUUGGAUCAGGAUAGUUGGAACUUUUUGCUCUCUGAUGUGGGGGAAACGCUCUGCGUUGCCUGGUGAAGACGCGGUUUUGCCGUGCCCUAGGUUCGCUGCUCGCAAAGACUCUGAGAAGACUGGCCAGUAACAUUUCUGCUUCUGAAGACCUCAAAUUUACAUCGGACUCCCUGCCGCUCAGACACUCGUGCAGUUGCAUUUCUGUCUAUUGCGCAUUAUCCAACUUAAGACCCUCGAAGAACUGCAACAGCGUCGUGUGGAGGCUAACACCUGCAGAGAGGUUUAUUUACCCUCAAUCGGCUACUGCAACAGCUGGGAUUUAACAUCCUCCUGCAGGGAUUUCUACCAUGUCAGGUGUACGGGAUUUCAGAUGGACUCUCUUCAUCUGUGUGGCGGCGCUUUCAUGUGACGUCUACUUUGAGCCGCGAACCCCAUGAAAUCCCAUUCGGCUCCAUCUAAAUAUGGCAGGACUCAUAAAGACUGAAGCACUCGCAGAGAAACCCUUCUCGGCGUCUUCCACUCCCGAAGAAAAUCUCGCCCAAGGAAUUGGGUGCUGGCAAGAUUGCAAAAUGACAUUGGCACAGUUAUUCUGCUCUAACUGAAUUAAAGAUUUUG